CUACGGGUUGCAGCAGUGGGGAAUAUUGCACAAUGGGCGCAAGCCUGAUGCAGCCAUGCCGCGUGUAUGAAGAAGGCCUUCGGGUUGUAAAGUACUUUCAGCGGGGAGGAAGGGAGUAGAGUUAAUACCUUUGCUCAUUGACGUUACCCGCAGAAGAAGCACCGGCUAACUCCGUGCCAGCAGCCGCGGUAAUACGGAGGGUGCAAGCGUUAAUCGGAAUUACUGGGCGUAAAGCGCACGCAGGCGGUUUGUUAAGUCAGAUGUGAAAUCCCCGGGCUCAACCUGGGAACUGCAUCUGAUACUGGCAAGCUUGAGUCUCGUAGAGGGGGGUAGAAUUCCAGGUGUAGCGGUGAAAUGCGUAGAGAUCUGGAGGAAUACCGGUGGCGAAGGCGGCCCCCUGGACGAAGACUGACGCUCAGGUGCGAAAGCGUGGGGAGCAAUCAGGAUUAGAUACCCGAGUAGUC
rnacentral:rRNA from 1 species